rnacentral:lncRNA from 1 species
GACAGAUUUCCUUACUUGCAGUCCAGACAUGGCAGGUUUGACUUGGCACGGAUGCUGGCCGGCGAGCUCAGAACGGAGCUGAGCCUCCCGUUCAAAUCAGAUGGACAUUUUCACAAGUCUGGUGACAACUCCGGCAGAGCCAGCUCCCACCCACACCCUUCUACGCACGUUCCUUUCUGAUCCGGCUCAGAGAGAUGGAGCCCGCCAGGCCACCAACAGGAGGCCUGCUGGAGAAGCAACCCAGAGACCUCGUGAGAAAAGCCGGAACCUCCCAAAUUUCAGAGGCUUUAGAGGUACAGGCUGCUCAGAAACCAGCCCCAGAGGUCAGACUUUGCAUCCAAGCUCCCCUCCAGACUCUGGGAUGAGUGGCCAACGUGGUUCAUUCUGACUGGGGACGGGAGCCUGGGGUCCCCUGCUGUCUUCUAGGGCAUCCCUCUCUCUGAGCCCCUCCCUGGCAUCUGGUGACAUCACAGUGACUAGGGAGGACGUUUUUCCUGCCAAAGGACACAUGCAGCCUCAGCCGCUGGGCCAAGGACCACCACCACCUGACGGGGCAGCCGUUCCUCAGGCCCCACAGGCUCCUGGCUGGGAUAGAAGAUUCCAGAAGCUGGCAGGCCUGUUCUCACCCUCGGCCUGGUCACUCAGCCCAGGCUGGCGCUCCUCACACCUGGUGGCCAUCAGGAGUUGUCAGGCCCAGCCCUUGCCCUGGCUUUUCAGGACAGGACUCCCGCCGUCUGAGGUCCUCUUCACACUGUUUGCACAACUGCCCCCUAACUGCCCAGGCUCCCUACAAUCCGCUGUCCUUGGUGGUGGUGAUGCUGUCGGUCGUGGGACAGACUCACUGCUGCAGGAGAACCCUCGUGACGGGAGCCGUCCUCUCCUGGUGCCUCUUCCUCUCAGGUUCUAGGCCCCACGGAGUGACCCGGCUUCCCAGACGGAGCUCGAUGGAUUCAGGGCUGCAUGUGUCAGAACGCUUUCCUGCCCGAAGCUCACCAGGCAUUUCAGGCCCCUCGGCUGUGUGUCGUUCCAGAGAAACCUCGUGUCAACACCUCAGUCUACUGUCCAGGUCCCCCAGCAGGACUGACGCGGGUGGAGGACAGGAGACUGUCCUGCUUUAUUUUCACGUUCCUGGAGCCUGAAGAAAAGAGUGCCUGAUGUGCAGCGAGCAUUCAGUGAACACAGACAGUUUAUUUUUCUGAUGUUUCCUAGAAGUUUGUAAUAGCUCUUUGGAUCCAUCAAGCUAUUUAAAACAUAUAUGUAAAAAUACAAGUAGAAACCAGCAUUGAA